rnacentral:rRNA from 1 species
UAAACGACUCUCGGCAACGGAUAUCUCGGCUCUCGCAUCGAUGAAGAACGUAGCGAAAUGCGAUACUUGGUGUGAAUUGCAGAAUCCCGUGAACCAUCGAGUCUUUGAACGCAAGUUGCGCCCGAAGCUUCUAGCUGAGGGCACGUCUGCCUGGGCGUCACGC